rnacentral:rRNA from 1 species
GAACGCACCGCAAGGUGAGUGGCAGACGGGUGAGUAACACGUGGGAACAUGCCCUUUGGUUCGGAAUAACUAAGGGAAACUUGAGCUAAUACCGGAUACGUCCGCGAGGAGAAAGAUUCAUCGCCGAAGGAUUGGCCCGCGUCUGAUUAGCUAGUUGGUGAGGUAACGGCUCACAAAGGCGACGAUCAGUAGCUGGUCUGAGAGGAUGAUCAGCCACAUUGGGACUGAGACACGGCCCAAACUCCUACGGGAGGCAGCAGUGGGGAAUAUUGGACAAUGGGCGCAAGCCUGAUCCAGCCAUGCCGCGUGAGUGAUGAAGGCCCUAGGGUUGUAAAGCUCUUUUACCUGGGAAGAUAAUGACGGUACCAGGAGAAUAAGCCCCGGCUAACUUCGUG